UCCCGACUGAAUUCAUUUUUUUCAAAUUGAGGAGGAGAUAAAAAUAAAUAUACAAGUAUAAUAAACAAGUAAUAUACACAAUAAGACAAUAAUAAGAAACAAUAAUAAAUAAAAAUUAUAAUUCAAACUCUGUUCGAAUAGCUUCAAUGAAAACCAGUUUCGUGUACCUAUAAAGACACUUAGUAAAAGUGUUAGCACUAAAUAAAUAUGAAUUAAAAUAAAUGAAUCAAAUAGUAACUUAAAAAUAAAAACCCGUCUUAUUAACAUGGAAGGCCUUGAAAAUCGACGGUAAUUUCUUUAUCGGCCAAUUUUAACUUACAAAAUGUAUAUACUUAAACUAAAUUUCCAUCUUUUGCAAUGUGGAGGCCUUCAAAACCGACGGAGAGAUUUUUUCAUUGGCCAAUUUUAACAAAACAAAAUAUAUAAACUUGAACUAAAUUUACGUCUUUUAAAAUGGGAAGACC
rnacentral:lncRNA from 1 species